AUGGAGACCGUGUCCUCGGAGACGGCGGAGGGCUGGCGCCGCGCGCUCUCCCGCGUGGUGCCCGCCGUCGUCAUCCUCCACACCACGGCGCCGCGCGCCUUCGACACCGGGGUCGCGGGAACCAGCCAUGCCACGGGCUUCGUCGUUGACAAGUCCCGCGGCAUCAUCCUCACCAACCGCCACGUCGUCGGGCCUGGGCCUGUUGUUGCGGAGGCGAUUUUUGUGAACAGUGAGGAGAUACCCGUGUACGCCAUCUACAGAGAUCCUGUACAUGAUUUUGGGUUUUUUCGCUAUGAUCCAGCUGCCAUAAAGUACCUUAAGUACGAUGAGAUCCCUCUAGCACCUGAAGCAGCAUCUAUGGGGCUGGAAAUCCGGGUUGUCGGUAAUGACAGCGGUGAAAAGGUUUCAAUCUUGCCGGGAACAUUGGCUCGACUUGAUAGAGAAGCACCAAACUACCAAAAGGAUGGCUACAACGAUUUUAAUACAUUCUACAUACAGGCUGCAUCUGGUACUAAAGGUGGCUCUAGUGGUUCCCCUGUUGUUGAUUGCCAAGGAAGAGCUGUUGCACUGAAUGCAGGAAGCAGCAGUUCCAGUGCUUCGGCCUUCUACCUUCCAUUAGACGGUGUAGUUAGAGCACUCAAUCUGAUACGUGGCUGUUGGGACACAUUUGGUAGCAAGCCAGAAUCUGCUUAUAUUCCUCAUGGUACACUUCAGGUGACUUUUCAACGCAAAGGUUUCGAAGAAACUCGACGUCUUGGACGCAGGAAUGAAACCGAGCAGGCGGUACGACUUGUUUCUCCAGCAGGGGAGACUAGAAUGCUGGUUGUUGAUUCUUCGGUGCCAGAUGGACCUGCAGACAAACAUCUGAAACCUGGUGACGUGCUGAUUCGCAUGAAUGGGGAGAUUGUAACGCAAUUUCUCACUAUGGAGUCCUUACUUGAUGAGAGUGUUGGCAGCGAGAUAAAUUUGCAGAUCGAAAGAGGUGGAACUCCUUUGACAGUAAAGCUGAAGGUAGGGGAUUUGCACUCCAUAACUCCAAAUCAUUUCCUGGAAGUUAGUGGUGCUGUCAUCCAUCCACUUUCAUACCAGCAGGCUAGAAACUUCGGGUUCAAAUGUGGUCUUGUAUAUGUUGCUGAACCUGGGUACAUGCUCUCCCGAGCAUCAGUUCCACGAUAUUCCAUCAUCAAAAAGUUUGCAAGAAAGGAUAUUGCACAUUUAGGUGACUUUAUUGCGGUUAUUUCAGAACUGUCUAGGGGAGAACGAGUGCCUCUUGAAUAUGUAACAUACACUGACCGACAUCGGAACAAGCAUACAAUAGUUACAAUUGAUCAGCGUGGAUGGUAUGCAACUCCUCAGUUAUAUACUCGAAAUGAUGCAACUGGAUUGUGGAUUGCAAAAUCAGCUAUGCUACUGGAAUCUCCAUAUGUAGUUUCCAUUCAUCAACGAGGUCAUAGGGAUGUAAACUCAAAUGUUGAUGAGAAUAUAGCUGUUGAAGGAACUGUGUCAUCUUCUAGAGAUUUAGAUGACAUAAAAGGUGUUUCACGGCAUUCUUCUAGCAUGGAAGGCUCUUCAUUGGCAGAACAAGUAAUUAAACCAGCUCUUGUGAAGUUUGAGGUGUGCGUGCCACCAAUAUGCAUGAUUGAUGGAGUGCAUGCUAAACAUUUCACUGGAGCUGGUGUGGUAAUACAUCAUUCUGACUCUCUUGGUCUGAUUGCUGUUGAUAGGAAUACAGUUGUUGUAUCUAUCUCUGAUAUAAUGGUUUCUUUUGCUGCAUAUCCCAUUGAAAUACCUGGAGAGGUUAUUUUUCUGCAUCCUUUUCACAACUUUGCAUUGGUUGCGUAUGAUCCUUCGACACUAGGAGUUGGAGCAUCCGUUAUCCGGGCUUCUAAACUUCUUACUGAACCUGCCUUGCGCCGAGGAGAUUCUGUGUACCUAGUUCGUCUAAUUGAUAGUUUACAUGCUAAAUCAAGGAAAUCAAUCGUAACCAAUUGGCAAGCUGUUAAUAUUUGCUCAAGUGACUUCCCACGGUAUCGUGCAAUUAAUACGGAGGUCAUUGAGCUCGAUACUGAUUCUGUUAUCGAACUUUCGGGUGUAUUGACCGACGAGCAAGGGAGAGUUCAAGCACUAUGGGCAAGUAUUUCCAGCCAGCUCUUCGGUUGUGGCAAAGAAGGCGACCAUCAGUUUGUUGUAGGUAUACCAAUAUACCUGAUAAGUCAAGUCCUUGAGAAGAUAAUCUCUGGUACUCCUGGACCAUUUCGUCUUAUUAAUGGAAUUAGGAGACCAGUGCCAUUUGUCAGACUUCUGGAGGUGGAGAUUUAUCCAACUUCGCUCACAGAGGCAAGAAGUUAUGGAUUGAGCGAUAGAUGGGUGCAGGCUCUAGAUGAGAAGGACCCUGAGCGAAGACAAGUAUUGCAAGUUAUAGGUUGCUUUGCUGGAUCAAAAGCGGAAACUCUUCUUGAAGGGGAUAUGAUUCUUGCUAUCGAUAAGAAGCCUAUUACAUGCUUCCUUGACAUUGAGAAUGCUUGCCAAAAGCUGGACCAUUCAGUUGGUUCAGAUGGAAUGCUUAACAUGACAAUAUUUCGCGAGGGAAAAGAAAUAGACCUUAUCGUUGGAACAGAUGCAAUAGACGGUAACGGUACAACACGUAUGGUGAACUGGUGUGGAUGCAUAGUUCAGAAUCCUCAUUCGGCUGUACGUGCGCUUGGUUUCUUGCCAAAGGAAGGCCAUGGAGUUUAUGUUUCCAGAGGUUAUGCUGGAAGUCCCAUCCAUAGAUAUGGUCUCUACCCUCUCCAGUGGAUAGUUGAGGUUAACGGGCAACCAACUCCAGAUCUGGAAUCCUUCAUAGAGACGGUGAAGGUAUUGGAAGAUGGUGAAUUUGUUAGGGUGAGGACCGUGCAGUUGAAUGGAAAAUCUCGCGUCCUUGCUCUCAAACAGGACCUUCACUACUGGCCAACCUGGGAGCUCAACUUUGAGCCGGAGACAGCAACAUGGCAAAGGAGGACAAUAAAAACGUUGCAACGUGUGAUCCAUUCUACUAAUGGUAACUAG
rnacentral:rRNA from 1 species